UACGAAGGGGACUAGCGUUGUUCGGAAUCACUGGGCGUAAAGCGCACGUAGGCGGAUGUGUCAGUCAGGGGUGAAAUCCCGGGGCUCAACCUCGGAACUGCCUUUGAUACAGCACGUCUCGAGUCCGGAAGAGGUGGGUGGAAUUCCUAGUGUAGAGGUGAAAUUCGUAGAUAUUAGGAAGAACACCGGUGGCGAAGGCGGCCCACUGGUCCGGUACUGACGCUGAGGUGCGAAAGCGUGGGGAGCGAACAGG
rnacentral:rRNA from 1 species